rnacentral:rRNA from 1 species
AUUGAACGCUGGCGGCAGGCCUAACACAUGCAAGUCGAGCGGAACGGCAGUCGGGUGAGUGAGUCAUAGGAAUCUGCCUGGUCGUGGGGGAUAACGUCCGGCAACGGGCGCUAAUACUGCCUGCUAUCAGAUGAGCCUAGGUCGGAUUAGCUAGUUGGUGGGGUAACGGCCUACCAACGCGACGAUCCGUAACUGGUCCGAGAGGAUGAACAGCCACACUGGAACUGAGACACGGUCCAGACUCCUACGGGAGGCAGCAGUGGGGAAUAUUGGACAAUGGGCGAAAGCCUGAUCCAGCCAUGCCGCGUGUGUGAAGAAGGUCUUCGGAUUGUAAAGCACUUUAAGUUGGGAGGCGUUACCAGCAGAAGAAGCACCGGCUAACUUCGUGCCAGCAGCCGCGGUAAUUC